UACGGAGGUGGCGAGCGUUAUCCGGAAUGACUGGGUGUAAAGGGCGUGUAGGCGGCACUGUGCGUCAGAUGUGAAAUCGCCCGGCUCAACCGGGAGCGUGCAUCUGAUACUGCAGUACUUGAGUGAUAGAGGGGAAAGCGGAAUUCCUAGUGUAGCGGUAAAAUGCGUAGAUAUUAGGAGGAACACCAGUGGCGAAGGCGGCUUUUUGGCCUGUAACUGACACUGAGGCGCGAAAGCGUGGGGAGCAAACAGG
rnacentral:rRNA from 1 species